AUAUAUACUAUAUAUACUUCAUUAAUGAGAGUUCUAACGGCUUUUUUGAUCUUUGUGAUCUUUGUCUCGUUGAAAUGAAUGCUAUAUAUUUGUAUUGAGUUGUAUUGCAUGUCUCAAUUGUAAAAUGUAUUUGAAAAGCUUUUCUUAAAUUGUUGUUUUAAUAUUAGUUGCCAAUUGACAAUUAUUAGUGACACUUGUGAGUCGUUAAAUGAUGGGCAUGGCGUCAAGGUUAGGUCUAAAGAAUAGUCUUAAAACCUCUAAUAUAUAUCUGUGAAGUUUAAUAGGACUAUAGACAGAGUCAUGAAAAAAAGUUGGAUUCAAAGAAGAAUAUAAUGAAAAUCACAUGCAAUAUGAAUAUACUACAAAGUGGUUAUUCACACCUUUUGCAAAAACGAUGUGGAAAUUAUAGGAUGUAGUUUGGUUGUGAUAGUUGUAUAUCAAUCAAUGUGAGAAUGAAUUAUAUGACAAUUUAAAUAGUUGUAUAUCAUGGAUGAACACUGCAAGAACAUAAUAAGAUAUAAUCAAUCCAUGGAGUUGUAGCUUCUUAUUACAUUAAGCAAAUGCAAAAAUUAUAUACUCCGAAUCGUUGAAAGCAAGACAUUGAGAAGCCUCAGCUCUUAUACCACAAACUGGGUAAAUAGUGUUAAAAAAGUACUUGUUUUUUUUACUCAAAUUACCUGUGAUAUCUAUAUAGGUAUGAAAAUAACAAAUUAUCAAUGGUCAUUUUAAACAGUCAACUUAUUUUUUAUUAAAUAAUUUUUAUGUAUCACGAGGAUAAAUAUCAGUCAUUUUUCUUUCUAAAUGAAUAGUUUUUCAAAUUAUGUUUUAUAAUGUGAGCUAUCCUCUAUUACACUUAUGUUUAGCAAUUUUUUUUAGAGUAUUGCUUACAGAUAGUUGAAUAUUUGUAACUGAAGUAGAGUAUUCACUCUAUUUAGAAGUAUUUGAUAACAAAUAUUGUGAAAAUUCCAACAGCAUAUCCUAUAUUAUUUGUACAUUAAAACUAUGCUAUCAUUCUAAUGUUCUGAAGAAGAAAAUAGCUAUAUAACAUUAUAAUCAAAUACAAUUACAUAAUUAUAGACGCAUAUUGUGGAUUUACCACGAUUAAGGUAUCUUACGGAUAAUCAAAUCAAUAUAUUUUUUACUGGAAAUAAAAGAUUUCUACCAAAGAUUUUUCUGACGCAAUCAUCUGUCAGAAGAAAUUAUUUAAGUAGAAAAUGGGAAGUUUCACUUUAAUAGAUUAUUAGAAUGUACAUAUACAAGGAAUUGAAAAUAUCUGGAUAUUAGAAAUACAGAAAAGAUAAGAAGAAAGACAUUACUGACAUACAAUAAUUAAGAUGACAAAACAGCUUAUUUUGUUUUGGCAGAAGAAAGAUUGUAAAUGCUAUAGCAACAAGUGUAAAAAUAAA